UACAGGGGGUGCAAACGUUGCUCGGAAUUAUUGGGCGUAAAGCGCGCGUAGGCGGUUACUUAAGUCGGAUGUGAAAGCCCUUGGCUCAACUGAGGAAGUGCACCCGAAACUGAGUAGCUUGAGUACUAAAGAGGGUCGCGGAAUUCCCGGUGUAGAGGUGAAAUUCGUAGAUAUCGGGAGGAACACCGGUGGCGAAGGCGGCGACCUGGGUAGAUACUGACACUGAGGAACGAAAGCCAGGGGAGCAAACGGG
rnacentral:rRNA from 1 species